rnacentral:tRNA from 2 species
GUGCCUGUAGCUCAGUCGGAUAGAGCACCCGCCUUCUAAGCGGGUUGUCGCAGGUUCGAUUCCUGCCAGGCACGCAA